rnacentral:rRNA from 1 species
UACGUAGGGUGCAAGCGUUAAUCGGAAUUACUGGGCGUAAAGCGUGCGCAGGCGGUUGUGCAAGACAGAUGUGAAAUCCCCGGGCUCAACCUGGGAACUGCAUUUGUGACUGCACGGCUAGAGUGUGUCAGAGGGGGGUAGAAUUCCACGUGUAGCAGUGAAAUGCGUAGAUAUGUGGAGGAAUACCGAUGGCGAAGGCAGCCGCCUGGGAUAACACUGACGCUCAUGCACGAAAGCGUGGGGAGCAAACAGG